rnacentral:tRNA from 1 species
AGCUCUGUGGUGAAUUAACAUAUUGAAUUGCAAAUUCAAAGAAGCAGUUUUAACUCUGCCGGGGCUU